rnacentral:rRNA from 1 species
GACGAACGCUGGCGGCGUGCUUAACACAUGCAAGUCGAACGGAAAGGCCCUGCUUUUGUGGGGUGCUCGAGUGGCGAACGGGUGAGUAACCCGUGAGUAACCUGCCCCUGACUUUGGGAUAACUUCAUGAAACUGGGGCUAAUACCGCAUAGGAGCUCCUGCUGCUUGGUGGGGGUGGGUUAGUUUCGGUGGUUGGGGAUGGACUCGCGGCUUAUCAGCUUGGUGCUGGGGUAGUGGCUUAGCAAGGCUUGGAACGGUAGCAGGCCUGGGAGGGUGACCGGCCACAUUGCGCCUGAGAUACGGCCCGGACCAGUACGGGAGGCAGCAGUGGAGAAUAUUGUACUAUAGGAGGAGGCCUAAUGCAGCAAAGCCACGUGGGGGAAGACGGGCAUCGGUUAGUGAUGCGCUUUCGCCUGUGACGAAACGAGAGUGACGGUAAUGGGUAAAGAAGCACCGGCUAACUACGUG